rnacentral:misc_RNA from 1 species
GAUGAAGAACGCAGCGAAAUGCGAUAAGUAAUGUGAAUUGCAGAAUUCAGUGAAUCAUCGAAUCUUUGAACGCACAUUGCGCCCGGUAGUAAUCUGCCGGGCAUGCCUGUCCGAGCGUCAUUUCAACCCUCAAGCCCCCGGGCUUGGUGUUGGGGAUCGGCGAGCCUCCGCGCCCGCCGUCCCCUAAAUCUAGUGGCGGUCUCGCUGUAGCUUCCUCUGCGUAGUAGCACACCUCGCACUGGGAAACAGCGCGGCCACGCCGUUAAACCCCCAACUUCUGAACGUUUGACCUCGGAUCAGGUAGGAAUACCCGCUGAACUUAAGCAUAUCAAUAAGCGGAGGA